UUAAAAAAUAUCUAAAAAAUAAUAAUAAUAAUAAAAAAGAAAAAGAGAAAAAGUUAUCUCAUUUUUAUAAGAAAUAUUUUAGAACUUUCAACUACACCACUCAAACUUUAUAUUAAUAAAUAAGGUUUUAACAACAAUAUCCAAACUAAUGCAUUGCAAACAAAUGACUAACAUAUUAUUAACAAGAAUUAAUUUUACUUUUAUUAAUAAUCAUAUUAAUAUGUGAAGUUAAAGGUUAAGUGUCUCUUAAAAAUAUUGCAUCGAAAUAACUAUUAUGCAAAAACAAAUAAGAGAAUUGUAAAUUAUUAUAGUAAAUAAAACAACUCUAGAUUAUUACAGUAGUAUUUAUUAUGUAUCUUUAUAUAUUUAUCAUCUCCUAUUAAAAUUUGAUUUUAGGCCACUAAUUUUAUUGAGACGGCUCUAUGAUACCGAUAGAUAGUCAAGUUGCACUCAAAUUGGCUAUAUAUAUUUCUAUCGAACCCAUCCCAAGGCCCAAAAGAGACGGUAAUUUCUUUUGUUAGUUAUUGAAGCUCCGAGUUAUCUGAAUAAAGAAUUCAGGUACUGGAGUGUACUCGUUUAAUCUUGUAACUUGACGAGCCUUCAGAAAAUAGCAAUGAUUACAGCUGAAAAGGCUCUAACCCAAGUUUGAUAACCUCUAACCCAAGUUUCAUAACCUCUAAAGAACAAAUUAGGAGAAAAAAUUAGAGGCAACGACACAUCAAAUAUGUAUCUUUAUUUAGUGGAUUCUUAAUACAUAUAGAGAGGAGCUUGCACGGAAGCUAUUGAGUACACGCGAAUCCUAGAUUCCCAUUUAAAUAUGCCCCUAAACAUCAGACCAAGUCACCUUCCCAUUUAGAUCACACCAAGUCACCUAGACGUUAAGCAGGAAAAGUUACUGUUUGGCUUUCAAAUGAGAUGUCGGUACCUUAUCCAAGGUUUCCUUCAAUCAACACCAAAAUCACGCAAGGUUUGCUUCUGUAUUAGUACCUUAACAAAAGAUUCCUAAUAUAACGAACUAUUUUGCUUGCAUCACAUCAUCAGCCAUGCUCGUCUUUAAUUGAGCGAAGGAUGUAAAAAGAAAAACUACAAAUUCCCGUACACCGUCAAGAUGAACCACCAAAAUCAUACUCUGGCUAAAAAAUGUAGUACAUGAAUACAAAAACGCUUUGCUUUGUUCAAUAAAGGCAAAAGGGAAGAAAGGGAAUAAUCUAAAGUGCGGAGCCCAAAAGGCAAGUUUUUUUAGUCAAAAUGUCAAAAGGGUACCUCAAUAGUGAAAAAUUCCAAAAGGGACAGGUGUUUACCUUUUCUAUUAAGAAGUUAACGUCGUCAGUGCAAAUGUUAGAAUGUAAGGUAAAAUGGUGAGUUUUCCUUAUCUAUUAUCUAUAUGUAAGUAUCAGUAGAGUGUAAGGCUAAAAGGUAAAUAGAGUCGUUAACCUUAUAAGGUAGGAUCCCAUGUUUACCUACUAACAACUUCAAAAUUCUUACUGCUAUAUAAAGAGUGUGAGCAGAGGUUCAUUUCUUGCAUCAACUCAAAAAAAUUAUUAAACUUCAUAACUCAAAAAUUUGUUGAACCUUAUUCAUUUCUUACUUUAAAAUAGAUAAGGUAAGAGUAAAUUUACAUUGGGAUAGUGAAGUUUGCAUGAUGGAGAUUCGGUGCGAUAUAGUCGGCGUCCUAUAGUGGUUCAAUUAUUUUCUUUAUCUCUCAAAUAUGAACGUUUGAAAAGGUUGUUUAGGAGUAAAAUGGGUAUUACUAAUCCAAAAGAUGAUGUGGUUAUUUCUGGACGAUAUCCAAAUUAUUUUACGUCCAACGGACAAUCAAUAUUUGGUAAAACUCCUAUUUGGAAUGAUGAUUCUUUAUCUUUAUUUCUUCGCACUGUUGAAAUUUUUUGUAAUCGCCUUAAUUUACAAACGCUUGACAAGUAUGCGUGUGUGGAACAUUCUCCUAUUGUUGAAGAACCCACGGACAGUGAGUCUGAUGUGCGAGUUAGUCAUUGAUGGUGGAAUGGCAAUGGAACAACAAUUUGAUGGUGGGCAUGAAACACAUUAUCAAAAUUCACCCGCACUUGUGAAUAAUUUUGAUAUGGGAGGACCUAGCAAUGCGACUAUGAAUUUGAAAAAUUUUAAUUCAAGUGGUCCACAAUAUCCUUCUUCGAUAGAGGUUAUUGAUAGAAAUUGUGAACAACGAUGACGAUGUACAAGGGGAGUUGGAUAGUGAUGAACCUUCACAAUAUGAAUCGUCAGAUGAUGAUCAAUCUUCUGAUGAUGACGAUGAUGAUAAUAAUAAUGAUGAAAAUAUUAAUGGAGAGUCUACAUCCGUUGGUGUCUAUACUGACAAUCAUUCUUCUAUAGCAAUUCCAUAUUUGGAUCAUACUGAAGAAAGUCCAGAAGAAUUGAGGUGCAUGGUCAAUGAAGAUUAUUUUCGAACUCCACUUUGGAAUCAAAAUAAUUCUGAACAUAUUAAGUCAGGUAUGUUAUUCAAUAACAAAAAGCAAAUGAAAUCGGUUGUAAGAAAGUAUAAUCUAAUUACAGGCACAAAAUUUAUUUGUGGUCGGUCUAAAAGAGACAGUUGGAAGGUUAUUUGUAAGCAAUAUUUGUCGGGGUGUGAAUGGAUGAUACACUUUAGCGCAGUUUCCAGUGGUAUGUGAAAGUCGGGAAAAAUGAUUGAGCAUAUUUGCAAUCCAGAUAAAUAUAAGGAGGAUCAUUAUAAUUUAAACAACGACUUGAUUGCUACUUCAUUGAUUCCUUAUAUUAGGAAAGACCCAAAUAUUAACAUCAAGAUGGUUCGAGAAAACAUCAAAGGAUUGCACCAUUAUACCCCUAGUUAUCGAAAAGCUCAAAAAGGUCGAAGAAAGACAUUUAAGAUGGUGUAUGGUGAUUUUGAAAGUUCUUUUAAGGCAUUACCUGCUUAUAUGACAACAUUGCAAUCAUUCAAUCCAGGCACUGUCGUUGAGUGGGAGCAUGAUUCAACAACAAUGCAAGGUGAGCACAUAUUCAAGUUUUUAUUUUGGAGUUUCAAGGCAAGCAUUGAUGGAUUUAAAAAUUGUGGACCUGUCAUUUCAAUAGAUGGCACUCAUUUUUAUGGCAAGUAGAUAUUAAAUUAUUAAUUAUUAUCGCAAUUGAUGCGAAUGGUAAUAUUUUUUCACUCGUA